UUUUUAAUGCGAAGAACCUUACCAGGUCUUGACAUCCAGUGCAAACCUAAGAGAUUAGGUGUUCCUUUCGGGGACGCUGAGACAGGUGGUGCAUGGCUGUCGUCAGCUCGUGUCGUGAGAUGUUGGGUUAAGUCCCGCAACGAGCGCAACCCUUGUCAUUAGUUGCCAUCAUUAAGUUGGGCACUCUAAUGAGACUGCCGGUGACAAACCGGAGGAAGGUGGGGAUGACGUCAAGUCAUCAUGCCCCUUAUGACCUGGGCUACACACGUGCUACAAUGGACGGUACAAAGAGAAGCGAACCUGCGAAGGCGAGCGGAUCCCUUAAAGCCGUUCUCAGUUCGGACUGCAGGCUGCAACUCGCCUACAUGAAGUGUGGGAAUCCGGCCUUAGU
rnacentral:rRNA from 1 species